GAGCCCCUCAUUCUGUCCCCAGAAGCACCACCGUUUCUAUUCCUCCCUUUUCGCCUUGGUGAGGCAGCCCAGAUCGCUGCAGCAUCUGAGCCGAUGUGCGCUCCGUGCUCACCUGGCCGCCUGCCUGCCCCACGCCCUGCCCCGCCUUCCCCUGCCAUCCCGCCUGCUCCGCUACCUGCAGCUGGAUUUUGAGGACGUGCUCUACUAGAUGUCUGUCCACUGCCUUUUGAGAGACCUGAAAGCAGAUGCCCCAGGGGGCUCCAGUCUGCGGCUCUCCGCACCCCCAACCCAGGACUGAGCUGAACUGAUUCGGGCCGAGGUGGCUCUGUCAGCAGGAGGUCCAGCUCCUCGGGCAGAUGUGGAUGCUGCCAUCCCCACCCGGGAGAGAGAGACAGACCAUUCAGCCAGGUGAUGUCUAACAGAGAGACAACUGGCACUCGUGGCAAGUGAGGCACUCCUCUUGGUGGUCUGAGGCACCCCUCCAGCCCAUCCGAUCCCUGUAUGAGCAUUAAAAAUCUGCAGGCCUGUG